rnacentral:lncRNA from 1 species
CCUUCGGAAAUCAUUUACCUCAACCUUCGAAAAGCAUCCGUUAUACGAGUUAUGGCAAUACUCCCGAACUAUAACACCCACGAUGCGGCUAUAUCUCCCACGUCUCGGAGCACGACUUAGAGGCAUAACCGCAUUGUAGGCAUGUCACAAGAGGGGUAAUCUUUACACAUCCCAUGUACUGAAUAAGAAAGGGAUAAAGAGUUGGCUUACAAUCGCCACUUCACACAAUACAUAAAUAUAGCAUUACAUCAUCCAGAAUACAAUCAAGGUCCGACUACGGAACCGAAAUAAAAGAAGACCACCCCUAAUGCUACAGAUCCCCGAUCGCCCCAACUGGGCUCCACUACUGAUCAACUGGAAACGAAACAACUCGACGCACACGAUCUUCAUCGAGCUCCCACUUGAGCUCAACUGCGUCAUCUGCACUGUUAUCAACGGCACCUGCAAUUGGUUUUGGAAGUAAUCUGUGAGUCACAAGGACUCAGCAAUCUCACACCGUCGCGAUCAAGACUAUUUAAGCUUAUGGGUAGGAAAGGUAGUGAGGUGGAGCUGCAGCAAGCACUAGCAUAUAUGGUGGCUAACUUACGCAAAUGAGAGCGAGAAGAGAUGCAAAGCACGGUCAUGAACUAGAAGUGAUCAAGAAGUGAUCCUGAAACUACUUACAUUCAAACAUAACUCCAACACCGUGUUCACUUCCUGGACCCUACCGAGAAGAGACCAUCACGGCUACACACGCGGUUGAUGCAUUUUAGUUAAGAUAAGUGUCAAGUUUUCUACAACCGGACAUUAACAAAUUCCCAUCUGCCCAUAACCGCAGGCACGGCUUUGAAAGUUCAAAACCCUGCAGGGGUGUCCCAACCUAUCCCAUCACAAGCUCUCACGGUCAACGAAUGAUAUUCCUUCUCCCAGGACGACCCGAUCAGACUCGGAAUCCCGGUUACAAGACAUUUCGAUGAUGGUAAAACAAGACCAGCAAAGCCACCCAGAUGUGCCGACAAAUCCCGAUAGGAGCUGCACAUAUCUCGUUCUCAGGGCACACCGGAUGAGCAAGACGCCGGGUUGGCAUAAACCCUGGUUGCCCAGGGGGCGCCGGACAUUGCUCAGGUUGGGCCAACACUUAGAGAAGCACUGGCCCGGGGGGUUAAAAUAAAGAUGACCCUUGAGUCUGCAGAACCCAAGGGAAAAAGGCUAGGUGGCAAAUGGUAAAACCAAUGUUGGGCCUUGCUGGAGGAGUUUUAUUCAAGGCGAACUGUCAAGGGGUUCCCAUUAUAACCCAACCGCGUAAGGAACGCAAAAUCAAGGAACAUAACACCGGUAUGACGGAAACUAGGGUGGCAAGAGUGGAACAAAACACCAGGCAUAAGGCCGAGCCUUCCACCCUUUACCAAGUAUAUAGAUGCAUUAAUUAAGUAAGAGAUAUUGUGAUAUCCCAACAAUAACCAUGUUCCAACAUGGAACAAACUCCAUCUUCACCUGCAACUAGCAACGCUAUAAGAGGGGCUGAGCAAAGCGGUAACAUAGCCAAACAAUGGUUUGCUAGGACAAGGUGGGUUAGAGGCUUGACAUGGCAAUAUGGGAGGCAUGAUAUAGCAAGUGGUAGGUAUCGCGGCAUAGGCAUAGCAAUAGAGCGAGCAACUAGCAAGCAAAGAUAGAAGUGAUUUCGAGGGUAUAGUCAUCUUGCCUGAAAUCCCGCAAGGAAGAAGAACGAGUCCAUGAAGAAGACAAGCGGACGUAGAUGAACGGAUCCUCACAACUCCGGAACGAAACCGAAUCUAACGCGAGAAGUAACCCGGAAAGAAGCAAACAAACAUAGUAAACAACCAUCACAUAAGCAUGGCAUAAUGUGCAAACAAGUAUGAUGCAUGUCCGGUUUAAAUAUGCAUGGCAUGGCAAAGUGCAACAAACAACACUACAAAUUAAGUGGAGCUCAAUAUGCAAUGAGUUGCAUAUUGACAGAACACCACAUCAAUUAUUUAGUUCACUCCCAGUUAUGUACCCAACCAAAUUAAAUGUUCUUAACAUGUCAAGGGGUGAAGCAAAUGAAAACUACCUAUCUAGGCAAGUUUAAAUGAGGCCGGAACAACAAGCAACAAGUCCGGAAAAUCCUCACGUGCAUAUUUAUGGAUUUGGUACUGUUGUUCCCUAAACCAAAUUUUAUACUUGUUAAACAUGCAAGAUGAGUGCACCAUGUUAAACUAGGCAUUUUCCCACCCCAUUUACAUAUAAAGUUUAUUAAAUUUGGAGUUAUGGUUAUUUAGUUAUGAAUUAAAGCAUUUUAGCAUGGCAUAUGGACAAAAAUUACACAAACAGCAUUUUAAACAUUUUACAGAUGGAUGAAAGUUGGAUAUUGUGAAACUAGAUGAAAUUCUAGUCAAGUUACAUAUAUAAAUUAUUUAGAUCCGAAGCACGGUUGUGAAGUUAUUAAAUGCAUGAAGUUUAGGGGCCAUUCUGCAAAACUGGCACUCUCUGUAAAAUACCUAAAUUCGUCCCGAGGAAAAAAAUACUACACGGGCCGAAUCCUGUUGGCCCAAUAGGAAGAGGGGAUCUGGAGGGCGGCUCACAUCGGCCUUGAGGCCGAAUCCGGCUGGCGCUGCGGAGCUGGGCCAGGGCGAACUGGGCCUUGGCGCUGGAGAAGGCCUACGUUGUCGCUGGAGUUGGGCCAGGGUGAGGCCACGGUCAACGAAGGCUCGAGGCAAGGGCGUCUCCCUCCUGCUCGACUGCAAAAGCAGAGGUGCGGCAGGGAGCCUGCAGCGGCGCGAGGCUGCGAUGGAGCUGGAGUGGGCGCACGGAACUUGCGGCAGCGGGCGUGCAGGGAAGGCCGACGAGGAGCAGUGGCGAAGCAGAAGAAACGAGCGGGACUUUGCCUCGGAGCAGCAGGGCGAUGACCAUCCAUGGCAUCGGGCAGGGGAGGCACUGCUCUUCAUCCUCCUGCUCGAUGCAGAGAAGGCGACGGCGCGGGACUACGGGGCUCCGGUGGAAGGGACUUGCGUGGUUUUCAAGGAGGAUCUUGCAGGAUCCGCGGCGGCAGGGGCUAGAGGCCAGCGAAGCUCGGGCAACCAACCAUGGAGGUGUUAUGGGGCUCCUGCUCAAACAAAGAGACAGAGGGGUGAGAGAGAGGAAGACGAACCAGAGAGGAAGGAGAGGAGCGGGACGAGGCCGAUCCUGGUUGAUGGAGAACACGGGGCGCGGUUCAGGUGGCUGGGCGCGGCGGCGGCGAUGAUGCCAUGGAGGAAGGAGCAAACGGGAGGAGCUCGGGCUCCUACGGGAUCGAGAGGGGCUGGUUGGUCUCUGCGAUCUGUUGGAGACGAUGGAUGGAUCGAGGAAAAUCCCAAGAAGGAGGUGGCUGCGGGCGAGGGAAAACUGAGGAGGAGCGGGGCGGCUGUGGUUGGGCGGCGGCGCAAAUCGAGGGAGAUGGUAGGAUGGUGGAUUGGAUCGGGGGCUUGGAUUGGUGGAGUGCACUGGUUGGUUGCCGGUGAUCCCGAUGGGGAUAGAGCGGGUGGCGGCGCGAUGGGACACGAAGCCGAGGUUUUAGGGAUUGGUCUAGGGUUGGACUAGUUUAUAUAGUGAGUGGGUUAGAUCAGGGACUAUCUCGUCCCUCCGAUCAAAAUCGGAUGGUCAGGAAAAAUAGGCUAGGGAGUCCAAAUAAGAAAAUGGUGAUGUUUUGCAGAUGUCUGGGGAUGAUUCGGACCCAACGGUGAUGACUCCCUGGGUCGGGUUCGGGACAACUUGCCGACGCGCGCGAGGGGUUCGAUGCACUGUGCAGAGAGGGUUUCAGACCGUGCGAUCGCAUCGGACGGCUCCAGACACGAAGAGGGGUAGGCGGAUGGACUAGGUGGGCUGUGGCGAGACUGCGAGGGGAGAAGAGAGAGAGAGGGCCCAACAUCUGUUUCCGGAGACCGAAAACGUCUCACGAUAGACCGGCUACUAUUGCCGCUAUAGUUUAACGGUUGGGCUACCAAACAAACUCCGAAUGCGAUGAAACUUGGCAGGCGGCCUACCUACAACAUAACAACACCACAUGCCAUCUUUCAACCCAUUCAGAGAACAUUUUCCGGCCACUUAUAAAAUAAUAUUUCGGACGUGCCGCGGGCGCGUGCAAGUGUGCCUGGGCUCAGAACGAACCACGGAAAGAACGGGGGGGGGACCGGACGGAUGCAAGUUUUGAAAACAUGCAGAUGCAAUGCGGAUGAUGACAUGGCAAGAUGCAACACGCAAGAAAAUGACAAGGCAACAACAACGAAUAACUGGAAGACACCUGGCGCAUCGGUCUCGGGGGGUCACAACACUCCACCACUACGAGAGGAUCUCGUCCCGGGAUCUAGGAUGGCACCGAAGAGAAAUGGAAGAGGAAGAGAAAAGGUAAAACUAAGUUGCUCCUUUGACAAAAGAGUGAUACCAACGAACCUUGAGAGGUUGGCAAAAUUGAAAGAAGGAAAACAACAGAGAUGCAAGAAGUUAAAAACACUCCGUUGUAAAAGAGGAACAAGGAACAUCACGAGAACCGUGUAGGUUGAAAGACAUAAGAAAAAGGGUUGCAAUGGAGAAGAAGUACGUCCAAGCACUCCGGUAGAAACGAGAUGUACAAGGAACAAUAAGGAUCAAUUACGAUAACACUCCGGUUAAAACAAGAUAGAGAAGGAAUAAGACUGAUAUAAUUUGGGCAGCACUCCAACUGCAAAUGGAAGGAAAUGAACUUGAAUUUGUGAAGAUUGGAUGAUACUUGAUGAAAACAACAACACACUGCCUCCGGAACUAUUGAAAGAAUGGCACAAGGGGUAAGAAAGAUUCCAGACAGCACUCCAGAUGAUAAGGGAAGCAGAACUUGAUAAAAUGGGAAGAACUUGAAAAGAGGGCACGACACUCCGGUUAAAUGGAUAAGCAUGAAAAGAACACGAUCCUCACCAUUCGAGAUGAUGAGAGAAAAGAGCAACAUCACAAUGCCUCCGGAUGAAAGAAUAGAAGGUAGAUCGUCGGAACAAAAGAACGGAGAAGAAAAUGACAACUCCUCCCACAACUUAAUUUGAAAGAAACAUCCCUACGAAGAAGGCUUGAACGGCAUUGUUUAAAUAUCAACAACAACAACAAUAAGUUGUUUCUGGGCUUAUGAAAACAUCUCAAAUCUUGAGGUGAAAUUCUGCCACAAACGAAAACAAUGGAUUGAAUUGAUAUGAACAAGGAGACGAGAAACUAUUUCACCAGGAGGAUAAAAGAAGAACUUGGGUCAUUUAUAAGCACCAUAAAUAGCAACAAUCCUUAGGGAAGGCUUUAGGUGAAACGUGACACAAGAUAACUCCAACGAAGAGAUUGGUGGAUUUAAAAUAUCUCAUUCUUGACAACAUGUGAAUCAUGAAACACGAACUCAAAUUGACAAGAAUGACAUAACACCACCUCAAAAGAUUAGAUAGGAAGAACUGCACUCCGGAUUGCAAGAUGAAGAAUGCUUAAACUCCUCUGAAAAUAAUCUCAAUGAACACUUCGAGAAGGAAUUAGAUCUUUGAUGAGCCGUCAUGUAGUGCCUCCCUGAAGAACUCCUGUAGUGAAAGAAUGAUCAAAAGGAAAGAGAGUUGAAAACACAAGGUGAAGCCUUGCAAUGAUUUAGAUGGAACUUUGAAAUGAUAUCAUUGAAAUAGCUUGGAGCUUCGGAAACAAAAGGUGAACAACUUAGCACCGACAAAUUGAUAGCAUGAACGAACUCCGGAAGAAAGGAUUAACAUAUGGAUGAAACAAGAAUAAGAAUUACAUUAUGUGUAUCCUUCACCAAUUAAAUUGAUGACAAGCAAUGGAUUUGGCAUACUACUUAUUCCCGUUGGAAAGGAUUAAGAGAGAUAUAGCAUAACUUCAGAAGGUCUACAACAAACCACCGGAAGGGUUGAAACAACGAAUAAAUUGAUAUGAUAAAGAAGGAAAAGAAAUCUUGAACGAACCACCGUAAGAAUUGAAAAUGAACGUAGCAAAGGCACAAUUCAUCGGGAAGAAUUAUGAAAUGAACGAAGAUACUUGAGAAAAUUUAGAUGCAAGUGAACGAAGAGAUCCCAAGCUGAUUAGAGAAUACUUGAAUGAUGCACUGGUAAGAUUUGGAGAACGAUAGCUGAAAGCUGAGAAUGAAUAAACCCCAAAUGAUGGCCUUUGGCGAAUCAAACUGCAAAGACUCCUUAAUAACUCCGGAUGGGUGAAAAGAAUUCUCACAAUCGAAAACAAUUAUGAGAGGAAGGCAUCAAGCUAGAACCAUGAAUCUUGAAGAGAAUGGAGCAAGAUAUGGAAGAGAACUCUUCUUCGGUCUUCAAAUGCAGAGAAUGAUGAUGAGAAACACCACCAUGAAUUGUUGAGAUACUCCGGGAUGAAAAUUAGAAAGGUUGAACCAACGAUGAAAAGAAUUUGGAAGAUCUUAGAGAAGGACAUUUGACUGAUGGAAAUUCAUUCUUACGUCAAACUUUAAAAUGAAUUUGAGAAUAGCUCCGAGAAAAUUAGAAGAGUGAGGUAAGAUCCUGGGAGAAGACCUAUGGGUUAGGGCCCACUCAAAAGAAACACCAUUGAAAAGAUUUAAAGAGAGAGAUUGCACUGGUUAAAUUAAAUGGCUUGAAAGAGAUAACCACCUCAAAAUAGUUUGAACGGUUUGGAAUGAAAAUGCGAAUCUUCUGAGAUAUCUCAGCACUCCGGAACAAUUGAAUAGUGAGAGGUGAAUGAUUAAGAGGUGCACCGGCAUGCGAAGGUAUUUGAAACGAGGAAAAGGAUAUGAUCAACAAAGUUUGAAUUGAAACCACCGGAGAAGAAAAGAGAACGAAGAAUGAUGAACUUGUAGAGCAUCUUCACGAGAACCACAGGGUAAGAACAUUGACGGAAAAGAAUGGAGAGGCUUCCCAUCAAUAAAAUUGAUACUUGAUUAAGAAAUGUUAGUCCUUGAAGAAACAAGGGUGGGAGGGAGGGACAACAAAGACAACUUGGGAUGGAUGAAACAAACACCGUUGAGAGGACAUGAGUUGAUCUUGCGAACAUUGAAAAUGAACGGAUCCGCUUAAAGAGAAAAACGCACCAGUUGAAAAGGAUUGACAUGGCAAUCUAGAUAAUCAAGAAGGAUUAGUAUCCACAUAGGAAUAUGAGAACACCACUUAGGAAAGGUAUGGAAUCAACAUUUGACUUCGAAGCAACUCGAAUACCACAACUCAAAACAAAACAAAGGAUUGGCUUGCAGAAUAAGCCGGAACAAACAUAUGAUAGAGAUUUCGUCCGAAGUUUUCGUGGUGGGACCCACAUGGGCUUGAUCAUACAACAACAUCAUGUAUAAGGCAAUGCACAUGACAUACGAAGCGUCCCCGAGUCAGCAUAGCCAAGGACUCUUUAAGACACAAUGAGACCACUGUAAAACCAACCGUGGAUGGGCGGACCACUAGACGUCGAACCCCAAUCUCAUAUCAUACAUCUAUCGGAAAGAUAUCCUAGGAGCUACUUGAAUUCCCACAUAUAAACUCCCGAAACUUUCCGGUUAUGCAAUCAGGUGUUGGGGAUACAGGGGAAGCAUAAUAUCUCACCCAAAACUAACAAUUCCUACAUCCAGCUGUAUCCAUCCUUCAACACAUAACCAAUAAACCUUCGGAAAUCAUUUACCUCAACCUUCGAAAAGCAUCCGUUAUACAAGUUAUGGCAAUACUCCCGAACUCCCGCCCCAGUACAGGGUGGCCUCGAGGUUAUCUCACCAACAACUGCAUAAAAGAGAUUUUUUAUGUCGGCGAACCUCAGGUAUUCCCGAACUGCAACGAUAAAAUUAUGACGACAAUACCUCGGAGCUCAACUCCCUGGGACACUGCCACAACCCCUAAAUGUCAGGAGGCACCAAGAACAAUGUUCUCGUCACAAAACCAUCAGAACACUUCCAAGAUCCCCACGCGAUCAUAAAAAAAUCAGUGAAAUUUGAGAAGAGAAGAGUCAAAACUCUACGUCAGGAGGCCUCACCAGAGCGACAAAGGGACUGAGGAGUAAAAAGAAUCCUACUCUCUGAUAUUUAUAAUCCUAUAAGAUUCAAAACAUUUUUCUAGAAUCAACAACGCCAGCGAUUCGACCAAGCAGGGGGCUCCUAAGUCGGGGAAGGCUCUGAUUACCAACUUAUAACACCCACGAUGCGGCUAUAUCUCCCACGUGUCGGAGCAUGACUUAGAGGUUUAACCGCAUUGUAGGCAUGUCACAAGAGGGGUAAUCUUUACACAUCCCAUGUACUGAAUAAGAAAGGGAUAAAGAGUUGGCUUACAAUCACCACUUCACACAAUACAUAAAUAUAGCAUUACAUCAUCCAGAAUACAAUCAAGGUCCGACUACGGAACCGAAAUAAAAGAAGAC